rnacentral:rRNA from 1 species
UGCAGUCGAACGAUGAAGCUGGAGCUUGCUCCGGCCGAUUAGUGGCGAACGGGUGAGUAACACGUGAGCAAUCUGCCCUUGACUCUGGGAUAACUGCGGGAAACUGUAGCUAAUACCGGAUACAUUCUUCGCUGGGCAUCCAGCGGGGAAGAAAGAAUUUCGGUCAAGGAUGAGCUCGCGGCCUAUCAGCUAGUUGGUGAGGUAAUGGCUCACCAAGGCGACGACGGGUAGCCGGCCUGAGAGGGUGACCGGCCACACUGGAACUGAGACACGGUCCAGACUCCUACGGGAGGCAGCAGUGGGGAAUAUUGCACAAUGGGCGAAAGCCUGAUGCAGCAACGCCGCGUGAGGGAUGAAGGCCUUCGGGUUGUAAACCUCUUUUAGCAGGGAAGAAGCGAAAGUGACGGUACCUGCAGAAAAAGCACCGGCUAACUACGUGCCAGCAGCCGCGGUAAUACGUAGGGUGCAAGCGUUGUCCGGAAUUAUUGGGCGUAAAGAGCUCGUAGGCGGUUUGUCACGUCUGCUGUGAAAAUCCGAGGCUCAACCUCGGACUUGCAGUGGGUACGGGCAGGCUAGAGUGCGGUAGGGGAGAAGGGAAUUCCUGGUGUAGCGGUGGAAUGCGCAGAUAUCAGGAGGAACACCAAUGGCGAAGGCACUUCUCUGGGCCGUAACUGACGCUGAGGAGCGAAAGCGUGGGGAGCGAACAGGAUUAGAUACCCUGGUAGUCCACGCCGUAAACGGUGGGUGCUAGCUGUGGGCCACAUUCCA